GAGAAAGGAGACUGUCUGGCUACUGGAGACUGCCUGACUCCUUCCAGCCAGUUGGGCAGGGGUCUUGGGUCAGUCUGGGUGGAGCUGCAGGUGUGUUUUGUGCAAAGAUGUGAACCCCUCUCCAUUGGCUCUGAUAACCUCUAAGCUGCACAUGUCUGGAUGACCUAAUGAGAGCUGACGACCCCCUCCCCAGCUGGCCUGCCCAGGAGCUGACAACUCUACAAGCAUCAGAGUUCCUGGCCCCUAGCCCAUCCCCAUGUUGUGCAGUCUGCGGGCACUGGGGAACCUCUCCGAGCAAAUAAAUGGCAAACAUGUGUUGAGAGUCUCUGAGAGGCAAAGAGAACGAUCAGCAUUUCCCAAACUUAUUUCUCCACAGGAUCUUUUUUUACAUGGAGCGUCUCGUAGGACUGGCUUCUGAGGAACACAGCUGCAGCUGCAACCGACUUGGUUUUUGGGCCUGAGCCAGGGGCCUGGGCCAGAGGAGAGCAAUUGAGCACCCUGGCUGAGUGAGGGGUGAAUCUCAGGAGUUGAGGACAACUAUUUAGAGUAACACUGCCUCCAACCCCCAAGCCUGGUUCAAGGAAAGACUGAAGUGGGAGGAGGAGGAGCAAAGACACAUAACGUUUUUCUCUAUCACCAAAAGAAAACCUUUAAGGGAGCAGAGAAAAUGGCAAGAAAGAGAUAGAGUCUCACUAUGUUGCUCAGGCUGGU